AAAUGCGAUAAUUAAUGUGAAUUGCAGAAUUCAGUGAAUCAUCGAGUCUUUGAACGCACAUUGCGCCCCCUGGUAUUCCGGGGGGCAUGCCUGUCCGAGCGUCAUUGCUGCCCUCAAGCACGGCUUGUGUGUUGGGCUUCCGUCCCUGGCAACGGGGACGGGCCCAAAAGGCAGUGGCGGCACCAUGUCUGGUCCUCGAGCGUAUGAGGCUUUGUCACCCGCUCCCGUAGGUCCAGCUGGCAGCUAGCCUCGCAACCAAUCUUUUUAACCAGGUUGACCUCGGAUCAGGUAGGGAUACCCGCUGAACUUAAGC
rnacentral:misc_RNA from 1 species